UACAGAGGUCUCAAGCGUUGUUCGGAUUCAUUGGGCGUAAAGGGUGCGUAGGCGGCGCGGUAAGUCGGGUGUGAAAUCUUGGAGCUUAACUCCGAAACUGCAUUCGAUACUGCCGUGCUUGAGGACUGGAGAGGAGACUGGAAUUUACGGUGUAGCGGUGAAAUGCGUAGAUAUCGAGAGGAACACCGGUGGCGAAGGCGGCCUUCUGGACAGUGACUGACGCUGAGACGCGAAAGCGUGGGGAGCAAACAGG
rnacentral:rRNA from 1 species